UGCAAAGGAUUAGUAGUUUGAUUCAUAUCAUUUCUCAUCUUAAGCUUUCAUAUUAUCUAACAAUUUCUAAAUGGUUGUGGCAGCCAAAACCAACACAAGCUCAAAAUCCGUGUCUUUGGAAAAUUUGCCAGAGGUCUCCCAACAUAUAAUUGUUUUAAGCAAAACAUGCUUAAUCUUAGACUUCCAAUGAUUGAACCACCAAAAUGAAAGGUACACCUUGUUAAUAUAGAUAAUAACUCUCAAUUUUUAGAGUCUUUCUUAGUCGUACACCUUAUUAGUAUAGGUAGUAACUCUCAAUUCUUUUAAAUCUUUCUGAGCUAUUCUAUUCUCAGAAUCGCUCUCAUUCGAAUAUGAUCUCAGUUCAUUCAUCUACCCCAUUACUCAGAAGCAUGAAAUGAAGAGCAAGAAAAUCAUACCACCAACAGCAAGAAAAUCGAAUUCCCAGAAGCAUGAAAUGAAGAGCAACAAAUGAAAAACAACUGCCCUUUGCUCAGUCCAACACAUGUGGGAAGAAGCGCAUGCUGUGAGGGCAGGAAAAAAAAAGAGUCGUCAAAUA